rnacentral:rRNA from 1 species
GACGAACGCUGGCGGCGUGCUUAACACAUGCAAGUCGAACGGAAAGGCCCUGCUUUUGUGGGGUGCUCGAGUGGCGAACGGGUGAGUAGUACGUGAGUAACCUGCCCUUGACUUUGGGAUAACUUCAGGAAACUGGGGCUAAUACCGGAUAGGAGCUCCUGCUGCAUGGUGGGGGUUGGAAAGUUUCGGCGGUUGGGGAUGGACUCGCGGCUUAUCAGCUUGUUGGUGGGGUAGUGGCUUACCAAGGCUUUGACGGGUAGCCGGCCUGAGAGGGUGACCGGCCACAUUGGGACUGAGAUACGGCCCAGACUCCUACGGGAGGCAGCAGUGGGGAAUAUUGCACAAUGGGCGGAAGCCUGAUGCAGCAACGCCGCGUGCGGGAUGACGGCCUUCGGGUUGUAAACCGCUUUCGCCUGUGACGAAGCGUGAGUGACGGUAAUGGGUAAAGAAGCACCGGCUAACUACGUG